rnacentral:lncRNA from 1 species
AAUAGGCACACAAGCAAUUACAUCACAGAUCGAAGCAUCGAUCUAAUCGACUUAGUCGAUUUCACAUCAGGAAGACCACUCACGAUCAUCUCCCUUCAAUCAUUCAAUUCACAACAUCAACCCAAGGCAAUGCAUCACAUCAAGUCACAUUCAGAUCGAAUAAUCGAUCAAUCGACCUAGUCGAUUACAAGUCAAUCAGACCAUCUCAUGGUCAUUUCCAAUCAAUCUGCCCAUUCACAACACCAGAUCAAGCAAUGAUCAAUCGACCUAGUCGAUUAUAUAUCAACAAGACCACUUCCGGUCAUUUCAACUAUUCCAAUUCAAUUCCCAAUUAUGAAUCACGGUCCUUAGGACACAACUUAAUUAUAGGUGGUAAUCAUGGCCCCACCAAGCAAUUUUCUUAGAUUUAGUGGCAUCACGGCCCCACCCAGCAACUUUUAAUAUGUAGUGGCAUCACGGCCCCACUCGGCAAUGCUAUAUGUAGUGGCAUCACGGCCCCACUCGGCAAUGUUAUAUGUAGUGGCAUCACGGCCCCACUCGGCAACUUUCAAUAUGUAGUGGCAUCACGGCCCCACUCGGCAAUGUCAUAUGUAGUGGCAUCACGGCCCCACUCGGCAACUUU